rnacentral:rRNA from 1 species
CAGCAGCCGCGGGAAAACGGAGGGUGCAAGCGUUAAUCGGAAUUACUGGGCGUAAAGCGCACGCAGGCGGUCUGACAAGUCAGAUGUGAAAUCCCCGGGCUUAACCUGGGAACUGCAUUUGAAACUGUCAGGCUGGAGUCUUGUAGAGGGGGGUAGAAUUCCAGGUGUAGCGGUGAAAUGCGUAGAGAUCUGGAGGAAUACCGGUGGCGAAGGCGGCCCCCUGGACAAAGACUGACGCUCAGGUGCGAAAGCGUGGGGAGCAAACAGGAUUAGAUACCCCUGUAGUCCCUGUCUCUUAUAC